rnacentral:rRNA from 1 species
UGGGGAAUAUUGGACAAUGGGCGAAAGCCUGAUCCAGCCAUGCCGCGUGUGUGAAGAAGGUCUUCGGAUUGUAAAGCACUUUAAGUUGGGAGGAAGGGCAGUAAGCGAAUACCUUGCUGUUUUGACGUUACCGACAGAAUAAGCACCGGCUAACUCUGUGCCAGCAGCCGCGGUAAUACAGAGGGUGCAAGCGUUAAUCGGAAUUACUGGGCGUAAAGCGCGCGUAGGUGGUUCGUUAAGUUGAAUGUGAAAGCCCCGGGCUCAACCUGGGAACUGCAUCCAAAACUGGCGAGCUAGAGUAGGGCAGAGGGUGGUGGAAUAUCCUGUGUAGCGGUGAAAUGCGUAGAUAUAGGAAGGAACACCAGUGGCGAAGGCGACCACCUGGGCUCAUACUGACACUGAGGUGCGAAAGCGUGGGGAGCAAACAGG